rnacentral:sRNA from 1 species
UUAUGGCAGCACCUGAGCUUGUGGAAG